ensembl:lncRNA
CAGGAAACAUUUACUGUGGCUGUGAAAACAGACUCAGAAUUCCGAGUGCAGGCAGCUAGGCCUGCCUUCGCCGGCCCUUCCUGGCCCCGGAGCGCCCUGCCUCUUUCUCUGAACAGCUCCUCUCCGCCUUCGGUCUCUCUCGGCCUGGCCUCUGGGCUGGUGUGGAGUGGCGCACAGGCCGGGGCAGUCAGAGGGCGGGCGCGGCCCGGGGAGGAAACGCGUCUGAGUCACGGUGUGGCGGUGCAGCCUGGAGGGUGCUCCGCUUGUCGGUUUGACUCCUGUCCCAGGCAAAGGUAGACGGCUGCCUGACAGACAGGCCUGGUCACAGCAGGUUACAAUGAACUGUGUCAUCCGCGCACACCGGGCAAUUUCCUUUUUGAGUCACUUUUCAGCUACGAAUGAAUCAUACUCCACCUCCGUUCCAGCCUGGUAUGCUUACUGCCUCUGCAGCCCCAGUGGGAAGGGGCGAUGUCUUUCUGCAGGGGUCUGCAGGAGGUGCCCGGUCCCUCGUAACAGGAUUCCUCCGGAAAACGAGAGGCCUGUGCUUUCUCCUGCUUACAAAAAGGACAGUGGCCAAAAAUUAGAAGACUAUUUAUACAAUGCGUUUAAAGACAAGAAUGUGAGCAACAGACCCGGUACAAUGGAAGCUUUGUGCAGCUCGGACCGGCAGGCAGGCAGGAAGGAGCCGCGCGAUCUUCCAAGCCCUUAGGGUCACGCCUGGAGAGGGGCCACCCGCCGUUGCAGCUGCUGUCUUCACCCUGCGGACUCCAGUUUCUGAAACUUGAAGGUUUUUCAGUCUUUGGCAAUCUUCCGUUUAAACUGAGUGUCUUCAGCAAAGGGCUUUACUUCAGGAUCAGUGAUGUGGGUCACAGUGGGAAGGGCAGAAGGGAAUGUCAGCGGGCAUCAUGGAAAUGGAAAAGACCGGAGGAAAAGUAUUUCUGAUUCAUUGUCCUUGCAUCCCCACGCACUGCCGAGCUGAGACUGUCCCUCAGUCACCCAACUAUCCAUUGCAGGAGGAAUGAAGUCCACCUUCAUCACCCCUGUGGCCGGGUGCCCCAGUCCGUUCCUACUCUCCUUGGCCACCUUAUCUUUUAGCCUACUGUGCUUCAACUUACUCUGUGCUGAAUUCAGCCAGGCUGCCUCUCCUUACUUUGUUCCCUUUGCUGCCUUUGUUCUUGUAGCUGGUGACUUUUCUUUUCUUUUCUUUUCUUUUCUUUUUCUCUUCCCUUCUCUUCUCUUCUCUCUUCCUUUCCUCUCUCUCUCUCUCUCUUUCUGCAUUUUCUCAUUUCUUCUCUCUCUUUUCUAGUUGUUGAAAUCCUAAUCAUUUUUCAAAGACCACCCAGCUAUUUUACAAAACUCCCCCAACCCUUUCAGUCCAUACUGACCAUUCACUCUCCAUGGCACCUGUUUUUUUCCUGAGUAUAACCUCUUGCAGUGUUCCACUAUCCAUGCUAUUUGAAGGCAGGGGCCUUGAUGUGUUUGUCUUUAUAGAUUCUGUUGCCAGUGAACAAGUGGCUGGAACAUUAAUACGAACCCAAUAAAUGGGGGCUGAGUUGUUGCUCCAGUUCUGGUUUUCCUGGGGACUAAUGAUCUGCAGAGCAUGAACAGAGGGGAUCAAAAGUGGCAAGUGGCUGUAACACUGCCUCCCUCUAGGCUGGAGGACUUUCUGCUUUCCAAAAAUGUGAAGGCUUCCACCUUCAUCCAAAUGGUUCCUAGAGAACCAAAUGAUGGGGACCUCUUGCAUGGCUCACUCUUGCCACCCAGCAUUUACUUAGUUUCAGAAUGACAAAGUUGAAGGUAUGUGGAUUUAACCUGGUUCAUAUUUCAGCCAAAUACCAGAUCUCUGUAUCCUGUCCAUUCUCAGUGGUUUGCUCAGAGAAGGUUGGAGUCACAGCCACUUCCAGCAAGGGGCUCAUCCAUACCAGGUCACUUGACAGUUUUCUAAAAUGGGGCUUGCAGAGAAAAGGAAGAGACUUUUCCUAGCCAAACUCUUAUGAAAAUAUGAAAGGGGUCCAGCCACUUGGAAAGACACUCCAACACCAUCACUGAGCACACUUGUUCUUCAGGAGGAACAAGAAUACUGGAAUCUAUCUCUUAAGAUUGAACAAUGUCUGAAAAAGCAAAAUGAAGCAAAACAAAAUUAAUGAUAAAUUUCUGUACUGUUUUAAAAAACUGAAUUUUGUAUUUUUAAAUCUGCUUAUAAGGAGCUUUACUAAUUAAAUAGUUAUACUUAAUAGUUUAAUAGUUUUGAUCAAGAUGGGAGUUCAGUAUAUAUUGUUAAACAUCAAUAUUGGUUACAAAAAUGCAAAGAUAUUUACAAUGUAAAGAAUUAAUCCAUGAAGUUUUCAUGGCUGACUGUAAUAUUUUUCCCUCAGAGGACAGAUGAUGAAGGAAGAACUAGGAGGGAGAGGUCAGCCCUUCACAACUCUUGUCUAUUGGCCUUAGAAAAUAGAUGAUGUGUCCAUCAGAUACAGCCAAUUUAUCAGAAGACAAUAAUGAUUAUGGUGUCCUUUUCAAAAACACGAUAACAUCCUUUGGAGAUACAUCUGUGCAUUGAGUGUGCUAUGGAUGUCGUUUUCAGAAAAUUUUUUUAUAUCUUCUUGUCCUAGGCAUCCUAAGCACUAUUUUAAUUCCUUCAGAGGGUGAAGGGAACUUGUAUGAUGCACUUUUGGACUAUAGAAUUGUUAUUUUGUCUUUCCUUCGUCCAUACAUUCCAUCUGUGACUCUGUAGAAUCUUUUGUUGGAGCCAUUGCCUGGGGCUGAUUAAUUGCCACUUCACCCAGAGUGCCAUGAACUCUCAAGAUAAGGCUUGAGAUAAAAUGGAAAACAUCAAAGCUAAGCAUACAUUCACACUCUGCAAACCACAGAGCGCAUUCACAUGGCAUAGGCACACGUGGGUGUGCACACGACUAUCAGCCUCCUUGAUUGAUUGGGUAAAGUGGCAGGCAGAGGUGUAUGUAUCUGCGGAGUCACAAAUGGUGAGCUGAGCAGCACCUGCUGUCCUGUGAUGUGGCCAUUUGUCUUAAAAGGCCAGUGAGAGAGACAGAGACCUGAAUCCCUGAACCUUUGGAGAACUCUGAACAGCAGGGGCACCCUGGUGGAACAAAGGGCCUCCCGACAUAUGUGAGGGCUGCUUUUCGUCAACCAGGUAUCACAUUCCGGCCACAGCAUGACAGACAAAUGCCAGGCCAGAUGAGGAGAUACAAUCUGCUGAACCUGAUGCUCCUAUACCUGGGUCUUGUGAGGGGAGCAGAUGCUGUGUCAGUAUGGAUGCAGGUGUGAAAAUAGGGGGAGAAAAGCCCCAAUACAAAAGUCCAGAGGCUCUAGGGGAGGCUCACUUUUCGAAGUUAUUGAUCCUAACUCUCGUGUAACAUAAAUCUUGUCUGUGCGGUGUUGUGUUGAAAUUUUCUGGCAGAAGAAGCCUGAGGGAAGAUUUGACGUUAGAAACUGAAGGCCACUACGACAGUGUGCCUUUUCUCUCAUGACUCCUAUCAUCAUACUCGAUGGAGGGACCUUAUUUAUAGUUUGGGUAUACUUGGGUGGGUCAUAGGAGAGACUCACCCGGUGAGCUUGUUACUCCUUGACUAUCUCACUGUCUCAGAAACUUGACUUUCUUAGCAAGGAAGCCCAAGCCUACAUCACACAAGAGGUUGGGUGCUCUACUCAUGGCCUUGAAGAUGUCUGCUGUCCACCUACUGGAUAAUUUGUGAGAUCAGAAUUCAAAAGUUUCUUAAUUCUCUAGUUGUUUUUAUACACACAUUAUUUGUUGAGCAUCUUCUAUAUGUUAGUGUACUCUCUGCUUAGAUGAAAUGCCUAGCAUCUGCGUAAUAAAGAAAAUAUUAACGAAAGUUUGAUAAUAAAGACUCUGCUUACUUCUAAGGUAAAUACCAGCUCCUUCCUGGAACAUGGAAGCAUCUAAAGGGGAAGUUUGCAGCUUCAGAAAAUGUUCAAAUCUGCUUAUCAGUGGGAGGACUGAUGUUGCUUCUCCUACAUCUGGUUCCUUUCCCUUCCCCUAUCUUUCUUCUUAGUAAUAAUAUUGUAAUUCUGACUGCCUUCUCUUAGAGUUUGC